rnacentral:lncRNA from 1 species
UCAUAGCAAGUUCUUUUGAUCUCUUUCAAAGUAAGACUAACUUUCCAGCCUUGGAUUUUAAAUUCAUAAUUCUUUGCCCAAGAAAUUAAUUGUUCAUGAUUAAUUCCACACAAGAAUCAUAAUCGGCUUAAUAGAAAUAGGUUAGAGCAUUAGCAUCAAAUACUUUUCAUAAUCCAUAAUCUUUUUUUUGCCCUUCUCUUAACUUUGCCCAUGAUUUAAUGAUCAACCUUUAUCCUAAAAAAAAAAACCCACCUCAAACCCUUUCGAACAGAUAGAUUGACGAUGUCAUAAUUAGGAGUAGGGAACCAAUGUUAAAGCAUUCCAGGUCUAAGCCUAACAAGGAGCCAUCAAUCUGUUAACACUAAAUUUAGGAUGCCCAAGAUUCUCCCAAGAACUGUCAACAAUAGAAAAACCCACUAGUGAAAAUUACAUAGCUACCUCCAGAUUAUUCAUAAAAUCAACAACAUUCUUCUCUACUAAAAGGCUAACUCAAGUCUUCCAAUAAUUCUACUUAUCAAUACAAUUUCAUCUUAUCAUAAGAAUAAGGUCCAAUACCUCCAAAUUUGGUUCUUUUUAUAGAUGAUGCAAAUCAAACUUCUCUCUCUCAUAAAUAAAAAUCAAUGUCUUAAUUUAGAACAUCAAAUUUCUUUGUCAAAAUAUCAACUACUCUUGAUUAAUCGAUCUAUCACAAGAUUAGGUCAUAAACAACUCUAAUCCACCCUUAGUAGAAUAUUUAUCAAGAUCGAUAGAUAACCUCAAUCUCUUUCAAUCAAAUAGUGGGUUGAUGUUAAUUGAAGAAGUACAAGCUUUGGAUUUAGGAGAAAAGAGGUAUACACCAAAAUAUUUUAGGUCCAAGAUCAUAAUCAAUGAUCUAGUAAUUCUAGUCUCAAGAUGUUACGCAUUUCUUUAGCACGACAUAAAAUUAGAGAACCUAAGAUAGUGCAGCGACAUCCAAAAAUUCUAAAUCAAAUCAAGUCUUUUGUUAUUAUAACUUGCCGAAUUAAAAGGAUAAUACUUCUGACCAACUUAGAAAAAUAGUUCAGACCACUACGCUUUCGCUGUGCACUCUGAUUCAAACCACCAUUUUUUUUUUGAAUUCACUAAUAACUUUUUUUUCUUUUUUUUAAUCAAAAUACUACCUUGUAUUUUGAACUAAGGAGAUCCAAAAUUUUAAUUUCCAAGUAAAGCCCAAAAGAACUUUUGGUUUCGUCCUCUAACUUCCCCCGAGUACAUCCAUCUAGACUGAUCCUCGAGUCAAUUGAUACGUUCAAAAACACCAUAUAGGCUAGUUACUAUAAUUCAAAAUAAAUUAAAUCUUAAUUCUCUCAUCUACUCAACUAGAUGAUUCCAAGUCAAACUCUUAUAAGUAAAAAUAACUAGAAAAAUGUUCUCAAUGCUCCACCAAGUCAGAAGACCUUAAAUCAAUAGAUAUAAGUAAAAUUGACUCGACGAUCUCUUCUAGAGUUUUCUUCAUUGAGAUCUAUGGCAUUUUUUUAUUAAAAAUCUUCCAUCAUAAUCAUGUAAGCCUCUAAAAUUCAAAUUUUUUUAUGCAAAUCUAGAUUUUAUUAGCAACCGCAACAAUAUUGACAAAAGACCCUAGAUCGGCAUAUACAUUACAUAAUUUUCGAUAAACAUGAACAAGAUCUAUUAUUUGAAUCCAAAGGUGAUAAUUUAAAUUAUUAAUAAUUUCACCGAGAUGAAUAUUUUAUAAUCUCCAAUAAAAUCAAUUCUUCGAGAUUGAUAUUUAUCCCUGAAUUCUUUCAAAAGAAUAAGCUACAAAUCAAAGAGAAAAUAGAUCUAUACUAAAUCAUUCCAAAUCCAAGAUUAGCUAAUGCGGGAACUAUUAAUCCUAGACUUAGAAUGCCAGAUUUCUCUCUCUCAUUUUUUUUUCAUAGCAGAUAGAAGAACCUACUAAUAACAUGAUAAUAUCCAUAUCAAUCAAAAUCAAAAACAAUAUUCUUUUCUUUGACAACGAAAUUCUUCUUAACAAGGAAACCCAUCAAAAAAUAUUUUCCAAUCAUAGAGUUAAUAUCGUUGAUCAUCUUAAAAUAAUUUAAACAACCAAUAGUCUCAUAAUUUACUAAAUCACCUCCAAUCAAAAUCCCAAUCUACAUUUAAAAUUUCUAAUUCUCGGUAAAGCCAAAGAAUAAUUCUAGAAUUUCAUCC